rnacentral:rRNA from 1 species
AGGGAUCAUUACACAAAUAUGAAGGCGGGCUGGAACCUCUCGGGGUUACAGCCUUGCUGAAUUAUUCACCCUUGUCUUUUGCGUACUUCUUGUUUCCUUGGUGGGUUCGCCCACCACUAGGACAAACAUAAACCUUUUGUAAUUGCAAUCAGCGUCAGUAACAAAUUAAUAAUUACAACUUUCAACAACGGAUCUCUUGGUUCUGGCAUCGAUGAAGAACGCAGCGAAAUGCGAUAAGUAAUGUGAAUUGCAGAAUUCAGUGAAUCAUCGAAUCUUUGAACGCACAUUGCGCCCCUUGGUAUUCCGAGGGGCAUGCCUGUUCGAGCGUCAUUACACCACUCAAGCUAUGCUUGGUAUUGGGUGCCGUCCUUAGUUGGGCGCGCCUUAAAGACCUCGGCGAGGCCACUCCGGCUUUAGGCGUAGUAGAAUUUAUUCGAACGUCUGUCAAAGGAGAGGAACUCUGCCGAUUGAAACCUUUAUUUUUCUAGGUUGACCUCGGAUCAGGUAGGGAUACCCGCUGAACUUAAGCAUAUCAAUAAG